UACGUAGGGUGCAAGCGUUGUCCGGAAUUAUUGGGCGUAAAGGGCUCGUAGGCGGUCCAUCGCGUCGGGAGUGAAAAGCUGGGGCUUAACCCCAGUCCUGCUUCCGAUACGGGUGGACUAGAGGUAUGCAGGGGAGAAUGGAAUUCCUGGUGUAGCGGUGAAAUGCGCAGAUAUCAGGAGGAACACCGGUGGCGAAGGCGACUACCUGGCCUGUUCUUGACGCUGAGGCGCGAAAGCUAGGGGAGCAAACGGG
rnacentral:rRNA from 1 species